ensembl:lncRNA
UACCUUGUUAGAUUUUUCCUUAUGCCAGUGAUUCUUUAAGUGCACUCCUUGGACCAGCAUCAUCAUCAUCAUCAUCAUCAUCAUCAUCAUGACCUGAGAACUUGUUAGACAUGUAAAUUACUCGGCCCCCCUCCAGGCCUAUUAAAUCAGAAAGUCUUGAGGCGGGGUCCCGCCAUCUGGUCUAACAAGCACUCCAGGUGAUUCUGAUGAAGACUAAGGUUUGCUUACCACUGAUUUCUGCAGUGGACUUGCUGGUUUACGCCCUGGGUCUCUCGCCAUAGUAGAAAAGAGAAUUGGAGAGAUAUGGCUGGACAGAGAGAGAGCAGCAAUGGCAAAGAAGGCACUCUUAAUGGUAAGCUGUUUUGUUCAGCCACGGAGUGUGUUUUCUGCUGCAGCAACGUGUUUUAUCGAUGGAUUUCAAACAUGCAGAAGACAUUACAGGUCAUGGGAAAUAUAUAUAAUUUGAAGUUUGGUAAAAUUCAGUGAAGAAAUUAUUCAAGGUUGAGAUGCCUAUUUUAAUUUUUAUGAGAGGAAGACUGGCCCUGAGCUAACAUCUGUGCCUAUCUUCCUCUACUUUAUAUGUGGGAUGCCUGCCACAGCAUGGCUUGCCAAGCGGUGCCAUGUCCACACCCGGGAUCCGAACUGGCGAACCCCAGGCCACUGAAGUGGAAGGUGUGCACUUAACCGCUGCAUCACCAGGCCGGCCCCAGAAGAUUAGCCCUAAGCUAACUACUGCCAGUCCUCCUCUUUUUGCUGAGGAAGCCUGGCUCUGAGCGAACAUCCGUGCCCAUCUUCCUCUAGUUUAUACGUGGGACGCCUACCACAGCAUGGCUGCCAAGCAGUGCCAUGUCCGCACCCAGGAUCCGAACCAGCGAACCCCGGGCCGCCGAGAAGGGGAACGUGCGAACUUAACCGCUGCGCCACUGGGCCGGCCCCAAGCUAAUGCUAUUUUUAAAUUUGAAUGUCAACAAUACAUUAUUAAAUACACUGGAAACACUUAAACCAGAGCAAAAGGCACCACGGAACCAGCAAGGAAAAUUCCUGUACAUGCUUACAGUGUCAUCAAGAAUGAUGCGUAUGCCUUCAACUCAAUAAUAUUUAUGAGAAAAAUCUCAACAUUUCAUUGAGCUAUGUUUUGGGCUGUGAGAGAAAAAUAACUAGAGGCCCACAACCAUUACGUCAAGUCUUACUAAAAGACUUUAGCUCUGGUUUCUACGCUUCCAUAACAUUUUUUUAUUUAACAAUAAUAUUUUUCACCUCCCUUCAAUAUUUCAUGUUCAUUGAUUAUUCUUUCAUCACGACCGCUUGAUCUAGCUUCAUAGAUUUAAUGUUUUCUUGAAUUUGUUUUGUUUCUUACAGUAAAUCUCUUUGAGAUAAAAGUAUUUGUUUUAAUUUUUCAAGGGAGCUUUUGAAUUACAAUACAUUUCCUUGGGUCUAUUGAUUUUCCUCUAAUUAUGUAUCUUUACAAAGAAAUGUCUAGGCAUGCCAAAUAUUCUUUUAUUAUCAAUAAAGUCCAUUUAAGAUGGAUCUCUUGGAAAAUAGACUGGGUCUCUGCCAAAUUCUAAAGCAAGGGAAAAUGGAAAAAAUUACAUUUACUAGAAAUUUCUCCUUCAAUUCAGAUGUCCAGUUUAUUGGCAGAAGUUUAGAGAGGGUCAGAAACAAGAGUAUGCCCAGCAGGGAGUUUCACAUGUAUACGAAAACCUCUUCUCUGUUUUUGCCAUGGAUUCUUAUGUCAGGAAGCAACAUCCAACUCUCAGGCCAGCCCUGCUGCUACUUUCACAGAGAUCGUUGUUUAGCACAGGAGCUUUUGCCAGGAAUAAUUCCUGGGUGAGCCAAGUGAAACAGGUGGAUUCUAUAUUGUGUUGAUUUGGCCAUAUUGUUGAGAGGAAGUCCAGGUGAUAUGCUCUGACUGCCCCACAGCAUGCUUUCCUCUGCAGAUGUGGGCUACCUGAAAUAGGUGGCAUCAAUUUCCUUUCUAGAUGUGCUGCUCUUUUAUUAGAUG